UCCGAUCAACAAAAACUCAAAAACCCCGCAAUUCUAUCAAUAAUUCAACAGGUACUUUUUCUUUUCUUUUCUUUUCUUUCCCCAUGGAUAUAAUUUUCUGGUUUCCUCGAUAAGAAGCUUGCUCAAAUUCAUUAAUUUUUGCUUUAAAUAUAAAUUCUGGUUGACUUGUCUUUUUCUUGGUGGAACAAUAAGAUCUGUUUCAGCACUUGAAUUUUAAUUGCGUUUAUUACAAAGAUUACGAGAUUUGGUUUUUUUUUUUUUUGUUAUCAUUCUUUUGACUUUCUAAUUUCAAGUUUCGGUUAAUGAUUUUUUAGAUAUCUUGUUCUGUAAGUUGAUUGUUAUUGGGUUUUAUGAAAUGGGUUGUCUAUCUGCUUGCAAGCAAUUAGAAGCUCAGAGCUGGGAUUCGGUGCUGAGUUAUAUUGCUUAUGUGCACUCGCCGUUGAUAUUUGAAUUUUGAAUAAAGUCACUAAUUGGAUGAUCACAUCUUUGCUUUGUUGAGGGUUUCAAAACCUGGGUGUUGUAAAAUUUUGAGUGAACUUGUUGGAUUUAUUAAUCAAUUUUGAUUUCUGGUUGUUGGAGGCAUCUUUGGCAAAGUUUAAAUAAUAAUUUAAUCUUGACAAACAUAUUUUUUAUCCACAUGUUCCGUAGGAUCAUUGGCUAACUACUCACUUAUUAUCCAAACAUUCCAUAGGAAUCAUAUUUUUUAAGCACUUAAAAUCAAUACCAAACAAUUACAGACAAAGAUGUAUGUUUUACUUUUAUGAUACUCAGCUGUAGUACUACAGUGCUACAUGAGCAAAUUUGCGCUUGGUGGUGGUAUGUCCUGAAUAAAUUGUUAAAUCCCUUGGUUGUAGCACUAAGUAACUUAGUUGUUUAAAUCUUGUAAUUUGUAUUGUUUUCAUAGUUCUGGGGGAUUUACUAUUUUCGCAUUGAUAUCAACUCCUAAAGUUAAAGUGGUCGUAAUUAUAGGAUGCCUGGAGAACCUCGGAGUUGAGGCAUUAAUGAGACCAGUAAACAGUUCAAAUUACCGUCAUAAACCGACAAAUUGCAUUAUUUGAUAACACAACCAUGUUAACUCAAAGAUGAAACUGCAAUGUAGGAAAUCAUAAAUAUUACUGAAUGUAGUAUUACGAUGCUAGCAUUAAAGAUAAAAUAAAAUAAAAUCGAUAUAAAUAGGGAAUUAAAUGUAAACAAGGUUAAAUAUAUUUAGCAUAAGUUGAUUUUCGUACAACUCAAUAACCUCUAGACUUUAUAUUCUUGGAUGAAAAAGACAAAGAAAAAGAUAAAGAUAUCGAACAAUACACUUCAGACGAUACUCAUUGAGCAAGAGGUGAGUGUAUUUGAUAGUUUUAGAGAAAGAUCCCAACUAAUAUUUGUUAUCAAGUUUCUUAAACUGCAGAGUGAAGAAUAGAGAAAGAUAGAAUUCCAGCUACAAAUAAUUCUUUGUUGUCAAGGUUAAAAGACAUUAUAAAGAAUAAGAAUGAAGAUACUAUAGUUAGAGAAGAUUGAUGAGAUUAAGGGAGAAAACGAAUAACGAGCCUCAGCCAUAACAAAGUAGAGGCUGGAAAGAGUGUGAGGAGGGAAGAUAAUAGUUGUAGAAUUAUUAGAAUGAGUAGCAUUAGUCACUUCGGUUUAGACCAAAAACAAGUCCCUAAAUAAGAUUGGAGUUGAAGUAUUUAUUGAGGAGUCUUAAGACACUAAGCCUGAAUUUUAAACUUUUCAUGCCAGCAUCCUAUAUGACCAAAACAAAGAGUUCUGAAUAACAAAUUAACCCUUAAAACCCUGAAACGUUUUUAUUGUAACUAUAUAAAAUACACAACAGAACUAGAAAUAAUAAUAUGAAAAAUACGAGCAAUACAUUGAAUUUCGAACAUCAAACACAUCAAUUCCUCCAGUGUUCAAACUCAAGUUCGUUAAGGAAACCUCAGAGAUAUUUUGGAACAAAUAUUCAUGGUGCCUGCAGACUGCCUUGUAAUUUCAUCUACAGGAUUUACAGUCUAAUUGACUGAGCUUACCACUGGAGUUUAUAUCUUUGCUGUAUGCCUUUGUUAAUAUUGUAUAAUGUCAAUCCUCAGCAUAUUCACAUUAUUCCUCAGGAGGUCUAUUUCUAUUUGCCAAUGUAAUGACAACAGGUUCUGAUAGGCUGGUUUCAUUGGAAAACUGGGAACUGGUCCUUUUAUACACUAAAAACUGUUUGGUUAGAAACAGUUAUCCAACCUGGCCAACUGCCAGUUAAACUGUGGCCCUGUCAAGGUUUUACCAGUUCAGACAUUUGGAUUUUAUUUCUUAUUUUCUAAAUAAAAAAUAAACAAUAAGGCUAAAAAAACUCACCAAUCCUAAGGGAUAGCUCAAUGGUCAGGCCUUGAUCUUGUUCUUCAAUGGUCACCAGUUCGAAUCCUUUUAGGAUCACUAGAAUAAUGAGAAAAAAAAGGUUAGUGAAUAGAAACACAGAUAUCAAAGUCACACCUUGGAAAUAUUGUUUUAAUCGUUUUUAAUAUUGAUGAUUUGAUUUUUUAUUUUUAUUAUUAUUAUUAUUAUUUUUGACAAUUAUAAUUGUUAUGAAAGUCAUUGGCUUCAUAAAACUUCAUUAUUAAAUUAUUUAUACUCUCCGCAUCUCACAAAAAUAGGCUUGUUUUUAUUUUACAGAAAUCAAGAAAAUGUAAUUAAUAUAGUUGGAAAUAUAAGUUUUUCUUAUAUUUUUUCUAACAUACUCCUACAUUAAAUAAUGGUCUGAAUAGGACUUGUUCAUAUUUGUUGAUAACGAUAUACAUUAAAUAGGGGUAUAUUAGAAAACUAAGUAAUUAACUAUAAUCUCAAUAAGGAAAGUGGCUUAUAAUUUGGGAAAGAUGAAAAAUGAAAGUAAACCUAUCUUUAUGGAACGGAGGAAUCUUUAUAAAUUUAUGUAUUAUAUCCAUUUGANAGUCCGGACACCAUGGUCAUUAAAAAAAAAAAAAAAAAAAAAAAAUAUAUAUAUAUAUAUAUAUAUCUCCAAAUUCUUCGUAACUAACUCCAGUUUUCGAAACCCAUCUUGGUGAAGAAGCAAUCUUGGCAUGGCAUUUAGUUGAAGAUGUUUUAAUUUUCAAAGUGAUAUUAUGUGGGGAUUUUCAAUGGGGAGAGAAGUUUCUGAUGGGGGAAAACAAAGUGAAUAGUAGUUAUGAAUAAUGAGAAAAAAAAGGUUAGUGAAUAGAAACACAGAUAUCAAAGUCACACCUUGGAAAUAUUGUUUUAAUUGUUUUUAGAAUUGAUGAUUUGAUUUUUUAUUUUGAUUUUGAUUUUUUUAUUUUUUUUGACAAUUAUAAUUGUUAUGAAAGUCGUUGGCUUCAUAAAUUAAAUUAUUGAUACUCCCUGUGUCUCACAAAGAUAGGCUUGUUUCUAUUUUACAGAAAUUAAGAAAAUGUAAUUAAUAUAGUUGGAAAUAUAAGUUUUUCUUAUAUUUUUCUAAUAUACCCCUAUAUUAAAUAAUGGUCUGAAUAGGACUUGUUCAUAUUUGUUGAUAACGAUGUACAUUAAAUAGGGGUAUAUUAGAAAAUUAAGUAGUUAACUAUAAUCUCAAUAAGGAAAGUGGCUUAUAAUUUGGGAAAGACGAAAAAUGAAAGUAAGCCUAUCUUUAUGGGACGGAGGAAUCUUUAUAAAUUUAUGUAUUUAUAUCCAAUUGAAGAAUUGCUAUUGGUUUUCAAAACUGAUAGUUGCACAACUUCUUUGAUUCUAAAACGUUAUAACAAUGACUUGCAUUGAUUUCAUUCAAAGGAAGUUUACACGUAAAGUAUCUUGGUAAUUUCCAUUGUCCAGCAGAAUUGGAUGAUAAAUGAUAUCCAAUUGGAAAUUAUCACCAGGUUAUAUUUUGAUACUAAGUUCUCUUGUCUUCGUUGUCCUUGUAUAACCUAACUUUUUUAUGAUCUCUUCUUCAUCAUCCUUAUCAAAAUUUGCUAAGUGCCUAAAAGGAAUUAGGCUUCAGUAAGAUCUACUUACUCUGACUAUAUGUGACUUCGUUUAACCUUUAGCUCAAAUCUAGAUCUUAUCCUCUCACCUGUGAUGUUACUACUGUUCAACGUGACUCGGUCUUUUAGGAAUCUUAAAUUCUGUUUACAAAAGUUUCCAGUUUUUUGUCGUCUGUUAUUGAGGAGCGUUAAAAAAUGUUUACAUCAGCCUACUUGAAAUUGCUUUUGUGCUGGUAAGUUCUUCCAAGCCCUUCAGAAUCAAGAAUUCCCUACUUGCACUGGUUGACAUUCAAUGUCCACUUCAUCUCUCGGUACAAAAAAAACUCUCCAUCUAUUCUUUGCUUACCAGUUGAAUCCGCCUGCUUUACAUGGUCUCUAGCAGGAGUUGAGCAACUAAUUGCUAAGAUUUGAAUGGAAGUGAGUUACGGGGUUGGAUUAAAAUUGAUCUGUUCAAUAUUAAUGUAAUUUUCUGUCUUAGUUGCUUGUAUAUUGGGUUAAUGUUGGAAAAUUUACUUAAGAGGUUGUAAAAGAGUUAUGUGGAUCAAUCAAAAUGGUAGUUAGACCAAAAACCAUUAUGACACCUCUUCUUAACUACAAUCAGGGUAAAAAAGAUUAGUAAUUAUUGGACUGAUAUUGAUAUUAGAGAAGCUUGCAUCAGAGCUAUGAACUCAGAUUGCCCAUCAUGCUGUCAUGAAUUCAGCUACCAUGUUGCUUUUAGAAACACUGCAUAACUCUACAAAUUGACUAUACGUAGAUCAACUUUUGAUGUUGAGUACUUUUGAUUAAUGCCAAAUUUGUAUUCAAGUUGCGCUCAAAUGACUUGGUAUUGGAUUGUGUAUACUAGUAUUUUCCUACCAUAUAUUUUACAAUCAUCUUUUCUAGUUGAACAAUCACCAUCAUAUAUUGCAGGACAAAUAACGUCAUUUUAUGGACAAGAAAGAGCCCUGCAAGGAGGUUCCCGAUGACGUGACUCGUGAGUCAUUGAUUGCCAUCUCUUACCGACUACCGGAGACUGAGUUCAUUACUGAAGAGUCACCUAAAAAAUUGGACAAUGAGAAAGUUGUCCAACCUCUCAAGCACGAUGGAGACGAGAAAUAUAGGUCUAAGCUGAUGUCGAUAUCCAACUCACAAUCACCCAACAUGAAAAUCCUACCUGUUUUGCCUGGGCAAAUUGACGGUUAGCUUAGGUUGCAGGGUUUUAUGUGAUGAAUACAAUGUAAAACUUAUGAAUUGUUCUGAUUUGAAAGAAACUAGUUGCAGUGGCCUCAGUUGAUAAUAUCGUUCGAGUUACGUUGUGAAUGCACAUAGUGUAAUGAAUUAUUAAUGGUACAAUACACUUAAGCAUUCGCAUAUUGUGAUACUUGUAAUUAUAGUGGCUUACUUGUAAAUUCCUGUGGAUUGUGGAUAUUUGUUUUGCAAGUUUUUUCUUCUUUUCUUCCCUCUAGUACCAUACUAUUCUUGC
rnacentral:lncRNA from 1 species